rnacentral:snRNA from 1 species
GUAGAUCACUGGAGGUGAAUAGGUGCAGAGUGACUGUUGCACUGACCUGUUAGAAGUGGGUUCAUUUCACUGUGGCUAUGCUGACCCCUGUGAAUUCCCCGAAUACAGGAAUCUUGACCAUAUCAUUUCUGGUAGAGGGCCACUGUAUUUGUGCUGCCCCCUG